GGGGCUAUAGCUCAGUUGGGAGAGCGUCUGCCUUGCACGUAGAAGGUCAACGGUUCGAACCCGUUUAGCUCCACAA
rnacentral:tRNA from 1 species